UUGCUGGACUGGGUUAUUUGUCAAUUUAUUGGGCAGGCAAGCUACGCUGGUUUCCAUCCCUAAGAGGUCGUCAAUCGUGGUGGAUCGCAGCAGCAUGUUUACCGAUGUUUGCAGCCUUUCUAAUAGGAGUGACUAGAAUAUGGGAUCAUCAACAUCACUGGGAAGAUGUCGUUGCUGGCUCACUGCUCGGUUUGGGAAUUGCUUAUGCUUCUUAUCGUCAAUACUUCCCAAGGUUAACCAAUUGGUUAAUAUGACACAGUCAGCGAUGAAAGCAGAAAAACACUUUUUUGAACUAAGACUGUUUAGUUAUAGCCUCGUACCUGACCCUCUCGCUAGUUUAGUUAGAGAGCUGAGCUGUUGUGGUUUAGUAGCUGCGCGCAUAGAGCGCACGCUUUCCUGCUUAGAUAUAUUAUACGUGCACGCA